GAACCUGCGGAAGGAUC
rnacentral:rRNA from 5 species